GAUGAACGCUGGCGGCGUGCCUAAUACAUGCAAGUCGAGCGAACGGACGAGAAGCUUGCUUCUCUGAUGUUAGCGGCGGACGGGUGAGUAACACGUGGAUAACCUACCUAUAAUACUGGGAUAACUUCGGGAAACCGGUGCUAAUACCGGCUGAUAUUUUGAACCGCAUGGUUCAAAAGUGAAAGACGGUCUUGCUGUCACUUAUAGAUGGAUCCGCGCUGCAUUGGCUAGUUGGUAAGGUAACGGCUUACCAAGGGAGCGGUGCCUAGCCGACCUGAAGGGGAGGUGCAGCCACACGGAAACUGAGACACGGCCAAGACCCUUCGGGGGGGAAGAGUAGGGAAAUAUUCGAAAUGGGGGACAGCCUGACGGAGGAACGACGCGGUAGUGAAGGAAGUCUUUGGGUCGUAAAACUCUGUUUUUAGGGAAAAACAUAUAGGAAAGUAACUGUGCGCAUCUUGGCGGUUCCUAAUCAGAUAGGCACGGCUAACUUCCUG
rnacentral:rRNA from 1 species